CAACUACUCCCUUUGUCCCAAAUUUCUUGUCUUAGAUUUGUCUAGAUACGGAUGUAUCUAAUACUAAAAUGUGACUUGAUACAUCCUUAUCUAGACAAAUCUAAGACAAGAAUUUUUGGAUGGAAGGAGUACUUU
rfam:Triticum aestivum genome assembly, contig: Triticum_aestivum_CS42_TGACv1_scaffold_019451_1AS